rnacentral:lncRNA from 10 species
UCUGCUUGUAGUUUUAGUUUCUGUGUUUCUCGGUCACCUGCCAAUUUAUGUUGAAAAGUAGCUGCUCAUUCAACACAGUGAAGUUGUCUGACUUUUCUUGGUAUUUGCAGGUGUCCCUGUGGGGUGAGGAGGUGGUGCUCUGCGGGCUCUGCGUGGUGCCAGUGUCUGCAUGGAGUCUGCAUGGCUUCCGGUCCGCCCUCCCACCCUCUUCCCCUCCCUCCCUCCCACCCUGCCUCCCGCCCUCCCCGCACCCUCCUGCUGGAGCCUCUUGAACUUUCCGGAAAGCCCCGCCCUGACUUUGUUGAGCUCUGGGCAGGCAGCUGGCCCCUGAGGUGUCACUGUUGCCAUCGUUCUUGCUGUGUUGA